rnacentral:rRNA from 1 species
CUUGGUCAUUUAGAGGAAGUAAAAGUCGUAACAAGGUUUCCGUAGGUGAACCUGCGGAAGGAUCAUUAACGAGAUCAUGCCCCCCGGGGUAGACCUCCCACCCCCUGUCUACAAUACCCUUGUUGCUUUGGCGGCCCCGUCGCAGGACAACCGGCCCCGGCUGGUCAGCGGCCGCCAGAGGACUCGAAACUCAUAUCAUCUCUGUCGUCUGAGUAUUAUAUAAUAGUUAAAACUUUCAACAACGGAUCUCUUGGUUCUGGCAUCGAUGAAGAACGCAGCGAAAUGCGAUAAGUAAUGUGAAUUGCAGAAUUUAGUGAAUCAUCGAAUCUUUGAACGCACAUUGCGCCCCUUGGUAUUCCGAGGGGCAUGCCUGUCCGAGCGUCAUUAUGACCACUCAAGCCUGGCUUGGUGUUGGGGUCCGCGGUUCCGCGGCCCUUAAAAUCAGUGGCGGCGCCAUCUGGCUCUGAGCGUAGUAAUACUCCUCGCUAUAGAGUCCUGGUGGAUGCUUGCUAGCAACCCCCAAUCUCACGGUUGACCUCGGAUCAGGUAGGGAUACCCGCUGAACUUAAGCAUAUCAAUAAGCGGAGGA